AUUGAACGCUGGCGGCAUGCUUUACACAUGCAAGUCGAACGGUAACAGGUUAAGCUGACGAGUGGCGAACGGGUGAGUAAUGCAUCGGAACGUGCCCGGUCGUGGGGGAUAACACUUCGAAAGAAGUGCUAAUACCGCAUACGAUCUAAGGAUGAAAGCGGGGGACCGUAAGGCCUCGCGCGAUCGGAGCGGCCGAUGUCAGAUUAGGUAGUUGGUGGGGUAAAGGCCUACCAAGCCGACGAUCUGUAGCUGGUCUGAGAGGACGACCAGCCCCACUGGGACUGAGACACGGCCCAGACUCCUACGGGAGGCAGCAGUGGGGAAUUUUGGACAAUGGGCGCAAGCCUGAUCCAGCAAUGCCGCGUGCAGGAAGAAGGCCUUCGGGUUGUAAACUGCUUUUGUACGGAGCGAAAAGGCUCUCUCUAAUACAGGGGGCUGAUGACGGUACCGUAAGAAUAAGCACCGGCUAACUACGUGCCAGCCGCCGCGGUAA
rnacentral:rRNA from 1 species